rnacentral:rRNA from 1 species
UACGAGGGGGGCUAGUGUUGUUCGGAAUCACUGGGCGUAAAGGGAGCGUAGGCGGGCGUUUAAGUUAGGUGUUUAAUCCCGGGGCCCAACCCCGGACCGGCACCUAAAACUGGACGUCUUGAAUAGUGGAGAGGUCGGUGGAAUUGGAGGUGUAGCGGUGGAAUGCGUAGAGAUCUCCAAGAACACCAGUGGCGAAGGCGGCUCACUGGCCCGGUACUGACGCUGAGGUGCGAAAGCGUGGGGAGCAAACAGG